rnacentral:rRNA from 1 species
UACGGAGGGAGCUAGCGUUGUUCGGAAUUACUGGGCGUAAAGCGCGCGUAGGCGGCUUUUGUAAGUUAGAGGUGAAAGCCCCGGAGCUCAACUCCGGAACUGCUUUUAAAACUGCAUCGCUUGAAUCCAGGAGAGGUGAGUGGAAUUCCGAGUGUAGAGGUGAAAUUCGUAGAUAUUCGGAAGAACACCAGUGGCGAAGGCGGCUCACUGACUGGUAUUUGACGCUGAGGUGCGAAAGCGUGGGAGCAAACAGG